rnacentral:rRNA from 1 species
CCUACGGGAGGCAGCAGUGGGGAAUUUUGCGCAAUGGGGGCAACCCUGACGCAGCAACGCCGCGUGAGUGAUGAAGGCCUUCGGGUCGUAAAGCUCUGUCAGAGGGGAAGAAAUGCAGGUGGUGAACAACCAUUCUGUUUGACGGUACCCUCAAAGGAAGCACCGGCUAACUCCGUGCCAGCAGCCGCGGUAAUACGGAGGGUGCGAGCGUUGUUCGGAAUUAUUGGGCGUAAAGCGCGUGUAGGCGGUUUGGUAAGUCAGAGGGGAAAGCCCCGGGCACAACCUGGGAAGUGCAUUGGAUACUGGCAGACUUGAGUACGGGAGAGGAGAGUGGAAUUCCCAGUGUAGGAGUGAAAUCCGUAGAUAUUGGGAGGAACACCAGUGGCGAAGGCGGUUCUCUGGACGAAAACUGACGCUGAGGGACGAAAGCCAGGGGAGCGAACGGGAUUAGAUACCCCGGUAGU